GGGGAAUAUUGCACAAUGGGCGCAAGCCUGAUGCAGCCAUGCCGCGUGUAUGAAGAAGGCCUUCGGGUUGUAAAGUACUUUCAGCGGGGAGGAAGGCGAUAAGGUUAAUAACCUUGUCGAUUGACGUUACCCGCAGAAGAAGCACCGGCUAACUCCGUGCCAGCAGCCGCGGUAAUACGGAGGGUGCAAGCGUUAAUCGGAAUUACUGGGCGUAAAGCGCACGCAGGCGGUCUGUCAAGUCGGAUGUGAAAUCCCCGGGCUCAACCUGGGAACUGCAUUCGAAACUGGCAGGCUAGAGUCUUGUAGAGGGGGGUAGAAUUCCAGGUGUAGCGGUGAAAUGCGUAGAGAUCUGGAGGAAUACCGGUGGCGAAGGCGGCCCCCUGGACAAAGACUGACGCUCAGGUGCGAAAGCGUGGGGAGCAAAC
rnacentral:rRNA from 1 species